AGUUUUACUUAAGCUCUUGAGGGCAGUAAACUGUGAGAUGAAGCAUUUGCCGAGGAGGGAACAAAGCUUGUAACACGGACAAAGGCGUUGCUUAUCCUGGAUGGCAGCCUAUGGGCAUGAAGAUCAAAAUAUGUGACGGUAGCAGCUGGGCGACAUGUGGCGGGAAAGAUAUAGUUGACCUGUCAAAAGAGAAGCGGUUGAACCAGAUUCAUCAGUUAUAACCAUCAAGUUUGCUGAAACAUCUCACGCUGCAGCUGAUAGCCUCUCCAAUGGUGAUCUUGAAGUUGAUCCAUCGGACGACAUUGCUACUGAUCCUCCAAACAAAGUGGAGGUGACUAAUGUCGUAUAAUUACUGGUGGAUGGUGAAAAGAUACAAGGUUGCAACCUUAAGCCUGGAAUAUUAGAGCAAGUUUGAGAAAAUCACCUGCUGACCAGCCAUGUCUAUAAUCCUUCUUUGUUUGGUUUCUAUUGGUUUUGGCCCCCUUUGGGUUUUGUACUAUGUAGGCAUUU